ACACGUGGGAAACCUGCCCAGAAGCGGGGGAUAACACCUGGAAACAGAUGCUAAUACCGCAUAACAACUUGGACCGCAUGGUCCGAGUUUGAAAGAUGGCUUCGGCUAUCACUUUUGGAUGGUCCCGCGGCGUAUUAGCUAGAUGGUGGGGUAACGGCUCACCAUGGCAAUGAUACGUAGCCGACCUGAGAGGGUAAUCGGCCACAUUGGGACUGAGACACGGCCCAAACUCCUACGGGAGGCAGCAGUAGGGAAUCUUCCACAAUGGACGAAAGUCUGAUGGAGCAACGCCGCGUGAGUGAAGAAGGGUUUCGGCUCGUAAAACUCUGUUGUUAAAGAAGAACAUAUCUGAGAGUAACUGUUCAGGUAUUGACGGUAUUUAACCAGAAAGCCACGGCUAACUACGUGCCAGCAGCCGCGGUAAUACGUAGGUGGCAAGCGUUGUCCGGAUUUAUUGGGCGUAAAGCGAGCGCAGGCGGUUUUUUAAGUCUGAUGUGAAAGCCUUCGGCUCAACCGAAGAAGUGCAUCGGAAACUGGGAAACUUGAGUGCAGAAGAGGACAGUGGAACUCCAUGUGUAGCGGUGAAAUGCGUAGAUAUAUGGAAGAACACCAGUGGCGAAGGCGGCUGUCUGGUCUGUAACUGACGCUGAGGCUCGAAAGUAUGGGUAGCAAACAGGAUUAGAUACCCUGGUAGUCCAUACCGUAAACGAUGAAUGCUAAGUGUUGGAAGGGUUUCCGCCCUUCAGUGCUGCAGCUAACGCAUUAAGCAUUCCGCCUGGGGAGUACGGCCGCAAGGCUGAAACUCAAAGGAAUUGACGGGGGCCCGCACAAGCGGUGGAGCAUGUGGUUUAAUUCGAAGCUACGCGAAGAACCUUACCAGGUCUUGACAUACUAUGCAAAUCUAAGAGAUUAGACGUUCCCUUCGGGGACAUGGAUACAGGUGGUGCAUGGUUGUCGUCAGCUCUUGUCCUGAAAAGUUUGGGUUAAUUCCCCCCACCAACCCCACCCCUUAUUAUCAUUUGCCAGCAUUAAAUUUGGCACUCCUGGUGA
rnacentral:rRNA from 1 species